rnacentral:rRNA from 1 species
AUGCUCGAUGGUAUCAUCUGUUUGGAUAAUGAAGAAGCAAUUACUGUCAUGGCAAGAGCAGGCAAAGAGAACAGAAGCCUGCAUGUUAUUGUGGAUGAGAGAAAUCAUAUCAAAUCUUCAUGGGAUGAUGUCAUAUACAUAGGGUGCCCUGAACUCCAAAGGGUAAUGACUCCUAGGAAAAUGCUAAGUGGUUUUCACCCCGGUGAAGGCAGCUCAAGAAUUAGCAGUGCAUCUAUGGUUGUGAUCAAUGAAGCAGAGCCAGAAACUUAUGUGCAUCCAGUUCGUGAAGAGCAAGUACAUGAAGAAAAUGAAGAGGAAUCGGAUAAAGAUCUUCAAGAGGAAUCAGAGGAGGUGGAGGGAGAGGACAAUGAGAUGGAUGAUGACUUCUAUGAAAGUGAUUAUGAUGUUGCGGAUGGGGAUGAUGACCUCUUUGAGGAGAAUGUGGAGCUGCUUUGGUUGCAUAUAGUGUGA